GUAAUUUAAAUGAUGGAUUAGUAUAUGGAAAUCUAAGUGUAAAUUUUCUACUAGCUAUCUAGUUAAUCAUUGCUUGUGUUUUCUUUGUUCUCAUUGUCUUUUUAUAUAAUAUGGAUAAGAUCAUUACCAGAGAAGUUGGUAACUUUUGUAGGACUACUUCCUUUUCAUCCCUAUAUCUUGAAAAGAUAAAUUUAGAAACAUCAACGAGCAAUAAUUUAGAAAGAUUGAAUUGCG
rnacentral:lncRNA from 1 species